CUCUUCCGUAGGUGAACCUGCGGAAGGAUCAUUA
rnacentral:rRNA from 1 species